GUCUACGGCCAUAUCACGUUGAAAACACCACUUCUCGUCCGAUCACCGAAGUUAAGCAACGUCGAGCCCGGUUAGUACUUGGAUGGGUGACCGCCUGGGAAUACCGGGUGCUGUAGGCU
rnacentral:rRNA from 1 species